UACAGGGGGGGGCAAGCGUUGUUCGGAAUUACUGGGCGUAAAGGGCCAGUAGGCGGCCAACUAAGUCCGACGUGAAAUCCCCAGGCUUAACCUGGGAACUGCGUCGGAUACUGGAUGGCUUGAAUUCGGGAGAGGGAUGCAGAAUUCCAGGUGUAGCGGUGAAAUGCGUAGAUAUUGGGAAGAACACCGAUGGCGAAGGCAGCCAUCUGGACCGACACUGACGCUGAGACGCGAAAGCGUGGGGAGCGAACAGG
rnacentral:rRNA from 1 species